rnacentral:rRNA from 1 species
GGAGCGGCCGAUGCCUGAUUAGCUAGUUGGUGGGGUAAAAGCCUACCAAGGCUACGAUCAGUAGUUGGUCUGAGAGGACGACCAGCCACACUGGGACUGAGACACGGCCCAGACUCCUACGGGAGGCAGCAGUGGGGAAUUUUGGACAAUGGGCGCAAGCCUGAUCCAGCAAUGCCGCGUGAGUGAAGAAGGCCUUCGGGUUGUAAAGCUCUUUCAGUCGAGAAGAAAAGAUUGUGAUGAAUAAUCACAAUUCAUGACGGUAUCGACAGAAGAAGCACCGGCUAACUACGUGCCAGCAGCCGCGGUAAUACGUAGGGUGCGAGCGUUAAUCGGAAUUACUGGGCGUAAAGGGUGCGCAGGCGGCUUUGUAAGUCAGAUGUGAAAUCCCCGGGCUUAACCUGGGAAUU